rnacentral:rRNA from 1 species
GACGAACGCUGGCGGCGUGCUUAACACAUGCCAGUCGAACGGUGAAGCGCCUUCCUUUUUGGUGGGUGUGGAUGAGUGGCGAACGGGUGAGUAACACGUGAGUAACCUGCCCCCUUCUUCUGGAUAACCGCAUGAAAGUGUGGCUAAUACGGGAUAUUCUGGGUCUGUCGCAUGAUGGGUCUGGGAAAGAUAUUGUUUCGGUGGGGGAUGGGCUCGCGGCCUAUCAGCUUGUUGGUGGGGUGAUGGCCUACCAAGGCGGUGACGGGUAGCCGGCCUGGGAGGGUGGCCGGUCACACUGGGACUGAGACACGGCCCAGACUCCUACGGGAGGCAGCAGUGGGGAAUAUUGCACAAUGGGCGCAAGCCUGAUGCAGCGACGCCGCGUGAGGGAUGGAGGCCUUCGGGUUGUGAACCUCUUUCGCCAGUGAAGCAGGCCUGCCUCGUUUGUGGGUGGGUUGACGGUAGCUGGAUAAGAAGCGCCGGCUAACUACGUG